rnacentral:tRNA from 1 species
GGGGAUUUAGCACAAUGGUAGUGCAUUACUUUUCAAUAAUAUUGAUAACGGUUUGGUGAAGACUGUAGGUUCGAUUCCUAUAAUCCCUA